CACGUAGUUAGCCGGUCCUUAUUCCCCACCUACCGUCAACCCCACGAGAACGUGGAGCCUGCGUUAGUGGUAAAAGAGGUUUACAACCCGAAGGCCGUCAUCCCCCACGCGGCGUCGCUGCAUCAGGCUUUCGCCCAUUGUGCAAUAUUCCCCACUGCUGCCUCCCGCAGGAGUCUGGGCCGUGUCUCAGUCCCAGUGUGGCCGGUCGCCCUCUCAGGCCGGCUACCCGUAAUCGCCUUGGUAGGCCUUUACCCCACAACAAGCUGAUAGGCCGCGAGCCCAUCCCCAACCGAAAAGACUUUCCACUCGCACACCAUGAGGUGGCGGGUCGUAUCCGGUAUUAGACGGGCGUUUCCGCCGCUUAUCCCAGAGUCGGGGCAGGUUGCUCACGUGUUACUCACCCGUUCGCGCUCGUGUACCCCGAAGGCCUUACCGCUCGACUUGCAUGUGUUAAGCACGCCGCCAGCGUUCGUCCUGAGCCAGGAUCGAAACUCUUA
rnacentral:rRNA from 1 species